CAAAGAGGAACAUUAAAGCAUACGUGGUGACUCUUGCAGCAAUAUCUUUUCUGUACACUGACUAGCUCCAUUCCAACCUAUUCAAACAGGAGUGCUGUACCUGCUUUGGAACUGCCUUUGCUAGUUUCACAGGAUUCAUUUGUCCCUGCUGCUUGUUACUCAUCAAAAGUCAUCAUUUUCUGUCUGUGACAUCCUGAUAGGCUGUUGCUGUGGAAAGGAUUAUGAAGCUGAAAACAAGCAAGCUGAUUUGCAUUAAGAAGCAAGGAAAUAAAGAAAGCCUAGUUACUUUUGGAGCCUACAUGGACACCUGGAUUUAACACAAGAAUGCCUCCAGAAAUCAAAGGGACCCUCCAGAAGAUGAUUAUGGGCCCCUCUACUGAAAUUAGCUCUGCUUGUCUAUAAGACAGAGCUAGUUAGCUGCCUUGGUAAUAAAAGAGAUACUGAUACAGAUG